rnacentral:rRNA from 1 species
GAUGAACGCUAGCUACAGGCUUAACACAUGCAAGUCGAGGGGCAGCACAGUGUAGCAAUACAUGGGUGGCGACCGGCGCACGGGUGCGUAACGCGUAUCCAACCUUCCCGUUACUCAGGGAUAGCCUUCCGAAAGGGAGAUUAAUACCUGAUGGUGUUCAAAUUCCGCAUGUUAUUUGAACUAUAGAUUUAUCGGUAUCGGAUGGGGAUGCGUGACAGUAGAUAGUAGGCGGGGUAACGGCCCACCUAGUCUACGAUGUCUAGGGGUUCUGAGAGGAAGGUCCCCCACACUGGAACUGAGACACGGUCCAGACUCCUACGGGAGGCAGCAGUGAGGAAUAUUGGUCAAUGGUCGGAAGACUGAACCAGCCAAGUAGCGUGAGGGAUGAAGGUUCUAUGGAUUGUAAACUUCUUUUAUACGGGAAUAAAACCUCCCACGUGUGGGAGCUUGUAUGUACCGUAUGAAUAAGCAUCGGCUAACUCCGUGCCAGCCGCCGCAGUAACAC